rnacentral:rRNA from 2 species
UGACGCUGGCGGCGUGCUAUACAUGCAGUCGAGCGCAGGAAGCCGUCUGAACCCUUCGGGGGGACGACGGUGGAAUGAGCGGCGGACGGGUGAGUAACACGUAAAGAACCUGCCCAUAGGUCUGGGAUAACCCCGAAAAAUCGGGGCUAAUACCGGAUGUGUCAUCGGACCGCAUGGUCCGCUGAUGAAAGGGGCUCCGGCGUCCCCCAUGGAUGGGUUUGCGGUGCAUUAACUAGUUGGKGGGGUAACGGCCCACCAAGGGGACGAUGCAUAACCGACCUGAGAGGGUGAUCGGCCACACUGGGACUGAAACACGGCCCAAACUCCUACGGGAGGCAGCAGUAGGGAAUCUUCCACAAUGGACGAAAGUCUGAUGGAGCAACGCCCCGUGAACGAUGAAGGCUUUCGGGUCGUAAAGUUCUGUUGUAAGGGAAGAACAAGUGCCGCAGGCAAUGGCGGCACCUUGACGGUACCUUGCGAGAAAGCCACGGCUAACUACGUGCCAGCAGCCGCGGUAAUACGUAGGUGGCAAGCGUUGUCCGGAAUUAUUGGGCGUAAAGCGCGCGCAGGCGGCCUCUUAAGUCUGAUGUGAAAGCCCCCGGCUCAACCGGGGAGGGCCAUUGGAAACUGGGAGGCUUGAGUAUAGGAGAGAAGAGUGGAAUUCCACGUGUAGCGGUGAAAUGCGUAGAGAUGUGGAGGAACACCAGUGGCGAAGGCGACUCUUUGGCCUAUAACUGACGCUGAAGCGCGAAAGCGUGGGGAGCAAACAGGAUUAGAUACCCUGGUAGUUCACGCCGUAAACGAUGAGUGSUAAGUGUUGGAGGGUUUCCGCCCUUCAGUGCUGAAGCUAACGCAUUAAGCACUUCCGCCUGGGGAGUACGGUCGCAAGGCUGAAAC